rnacentral:rRNA from 1 species
UUGAACGCUGGCGGCAUGCUUUACACAUGCAAGUCGAACGGCAGCGGGGGCUUCGGCCUGCCGGCGAGUGGCGAACGGGUGAGUAAUGCAUCGGAACGUGCCCAGUCAUGGGGGAUAACUACGCGAAAGCGUGGCUAAUACCGCAUACGCCCUGAGGGGGAAAGCGGGGGACCUUCGGGCCUCGCGCGAUUGGAGCGGCUGAUGUCGGAUUAGCUGGUUGGUGGGGUAAAGGCCUACCAAGGCGACGAUCCGUAGCUGGUCUGAGAGGAUGAUCCGCCACACUGGGACUGAGACACGGACCAGACUCCUACGGGAGGCAGCAGGGGGGAAUUUUGGACAAUGGGGGCAACCCUGAUCCAGCCAUGCCGCGUGAGUGAAGAAGGUCUUCGGGUUGUAAAGCUCUUUCAGACGGAAAGAAAUCGGGCGCGUGAAUAGCGUGCCUGGAUGACGGUACUGUCAGAAGAAGCACCGGCUAACUACGU